rnacentral:rRNA from 1 species
GCGACGUUGUCCGGAUUUAUUGGGCGUAAAGGGCUCGUAGGUGGUUGAUCGCGUCGGAAGUGUAAUCUUGGGGCUUAACCCUGAGCGUGCUUUCGAUACGGGUUGACUUGAGGAAGGUAGGGGAGAAUGGAAUUCCUGGUGGAGCGGUGGAAUGCGCAGAUAUCAGGAGGAACACCAGUGCGAAGGCGGUUCUCUGGGCCUUUCCUGACGCUGAGGAGCGAAAGCGUGGGGAGCGAACAGGCUUAGAUACCCUGGUAGUCCACGCUGUAAACGGUGGGUACUAAGUGUGGGGUCCAUUCCACGGGUUCCGUGCCGUAGCUAACGCUUUAAUACCCCGCCUGGGGAGUACGGCCGCAACGAAAACUCAAAGGAAUUGACGGGGCCCCGCACAAGCGCGGAGCAUGCGGAUUAAUUCGAUGCAACCGUAGAACCUUACCUGGGUUUGACAUGGAUCGGGAGUGCUCAAGAUGGGUGUGCUCUUUUGGGGUCGGUUCACAGGUGGUGCAUGGCUGUCGUCAGCUCGUGUCGUGAGAUGUUGGGUUAAGUCCCG